GACGAACGCUGGCGGCGUGCUUAACACAUGCAAGUCGAACGGAAAGGCCCUGCUUGCCGGGUACUCGAGUGGCGAACGGGUGAGUAACACGUGGGUGAUCUGCCCUGCACUUCGGGAUAAGCCUGGGAAACUGGGUCUAAUACCGGAUAGGAGCCAUUUUUAGUGUGAUGGUUGGAAAGUUUUUUCGGUAUAGGAUGAGCUCGCGGCCUAUCAGCUUGUUGGUGGGGUAAUGGCCUACCAAGGCGGCGACGGGUAGCCGGCCUGAGAGGGUGGACGGCCACAUUGGGACUGAGAUACGGCCCAGACUCCUACGGGAGGCAGCAGUGGGGAAUAUUGCACAAUGGGCGCAAGCCUGAUGCAGCGACGCCGCGUGGGGGAGGACGGCCUUCGGGUUGUAAACUCCUUUCGCUAGGGACGAAGCUUUUUGUGACGGUACCUAGAUAAGAAGCACCGGCUAACUACGUG
rnacentral:rRNA from 1 species